GCGCUCGCUUCCACAGCACAUACACUAAAAUUGGAAUGAUACAGAGAAGAUUCACAUGGCCCCUGCACAAGGAUGACAUGCAAAUCCAUAGAGUGUUCCAUAUUUUU